UAAGCUUUAAAAUAAAUUUUUAUAAAAAUAUUUAUUAAUAUAAAAAAAUGUAGAAUUAGAAUUAUUUAUCAUUAAUAGUAUGUUAUAAUUAAUUUUUAUAUAAAWAYVAUUUAUAUAUUUUUUAAAUUUUUUAUUAAACUUAUAUAUAAAAUUAUAUAUUAUAUUUAAUAAUGAUAAAAUUAGUAUAAUUUUUUGUAAAUUUAAUUUAUUUAAUAAAGGUUAAGUAAAGGAAUUCGGCAAAAAUUUUUUCGCCUGUUUAUUAAAAACAUGGCUUUUUGAUAAUAAUUUAAAGUCUGACCUGCCCAAUGAAAUUUGAAUGGCCGCGGUAUAUUGACUGUGCGAAGGUAGCAUAAUAAUUAGUUUUUUAAUUGGAAACUGGUAUGAAUGGUUGGACGAGAAAAAAGCUGUCUCUAUUUAAUUUAAUUAGAAUUUUAUCUUUAAGUAAAAAAGCUUAAAUAUAUUUAAAAGACGAGAAGACCCUAUAGAGUUUUAUAUAAUUAAUAUAUUAAAUUUUGAAGAAUUAAUAUUUUAUUGUUUUAAUUAUAUUUGGUUGGGGUGACUAAAAAAUUGAAUUAACUUUUUUUAUUAAUUAAACAUUAAUGUAUGAAUGUAUGAUCCAUUAUUUAUGAUUAAAAGAUUAAAUUACCUUAGGGAUAACAGCGUAAUUUUUUUUGAGAGUUCUUAUCGAAAAAAAAGAUUGCGACCUCGAUGUUGGAUUAAAAUUAACUUUUGGUGUAGAAGCUAAAAAUGUUAGGUCUGUUCGACCUUUAAAAUUUUACAUGAUCUGAGUUUAAACCGGUGUGAGCCAGGUUGGUUUCUAUCUUUAAAAAAUUUAAAAUAUUUUAGUACGAAAGGACCAAAUAUUUAUAAAAAUUAUUUUUAUUAAGAAUGUUAUUAA
rnacentral:rRNA from 1 species